rnacentral:lncRNA from 1 species
GUGUGUUUCUGUACAGUGCAGUGAUCACAGUGUGCAUAUGAAUGUGUGUUCCUUUAGAAUCCAGACAACAUUGGGCAUUUGAAUGUGUGUUUCUGUGGAGGUGCCUACAGAGACCAUCAUGUAUUUUGUAGUUACACAUUUUACAGAGUUCAGAUGUGAGAAAUGUGCCUGUGAGUGUUUUUCCUGGGGAGUAGAAAUGGGCACAGUAGGCAUGUGGGUCCUGAUCCCUACUGAUGCCACAACUUGGCAGUGUACUUGUGAGUCCAUGUAACCCCAGAGCAGAGUUCAGCUUGGAACUCUGAGUGUAUGUGCCUGCAGUUUCAUGGUGGUGAGUAAGUGGCUUCAGUUGCACAAGGCCCAGUUCUUGAUAAACAUGUGAGAUAAGAUGCCUGCUGACAGAGGACAUAGGUGGGCAUUGGACAUGUGAGUGUGGGUGCUGGUAGAGAAAAAUGGAUGCUAUGGAUAUGGGACUGCAGUCACAUAUCAAUUCUUGAGCUGGGUUGUCGACAUGUUACUGCAGAUUCCUUCACAGGCCAGACAGUCAUUGGUUUGUGAGUACAGGUGUCUCUAGAGUACAGAGAGGUGCAGUGGGAGACUUCAUGCAGGGGUAUGCAGAGAUCAGAGGGAACUGAGCAUGUGAGUGCAAGUGCUAUAGAGA